rnacentral:rRNA from 1 species
UACGUAGGGUGCAAGCGUUGUCCGGAAUUAUUGGGCGUAAAGGGCUCGUAGGCGGUCUGUCGCGUCGGGAGUGAAAACUCAGGGCUUAACCCUGAGCCUGCUUCCGAUACGGGCAGACUAGAGGUAUGCAGGGGAGAAUGGAAUUCCUGGUGUAGCGGUGAAAUGCGCAGAUAUCAGGAGGAACACCGGUGGCGAAGGCGGUUCUCUGGGCAUUACCUGACGCUGAGGAGCGAAAGCGUGGGGAGCAAACAGG